rnacentral:misc_RNA from 1 species
AAGUCGUAACAAGGUUUCCGUAGGUGAACCUGCGGAAGGAUCAUUAACACGUAUCCAACGUUAAACCCCCCUGUGAACUUUUACACUUGCUCUCGAAGCUCGCCGGAAUUGCAAUCCCUGGUAAAUCACGUCAAACGGUUUGAUUCGGGGACUUCUGUCGUGGUGUGACGUGUCUCACAAAGUUGCAAUCGAGCGCUAGUUUAACUGGUCCGGUCUUCCCUCAAAUUCACUUCAAUGAAUGACAGCGUCAUUGAAGUGUGAUGGGGAGAGCGCUUAACGAACGCUGUAGGCACACACGGGCCGGCGUCUGGAUCAGAGAGCGCAAGCUCCUUCGUAACCACCAGUCAGCGUAGGCCCUUCUGUCGUGGUUGGGCAUUAAAACGAACAACUGUUAACAAUGGAUAUCUUGGUUCUC